rnacentral:rRNA from 1 species
UACGGGGGGGGCAAGCGUUGUUCGGAAUUACUGGGCGUAAAGGGCUCGUAGGCGGCCAACUAAGUCCGACGUGAAAUCCCUCGGCUUAACCGGGGAACUGCGUCUGAUACUGGAUGGCUUGAGUUUGGGAGAGGGACGCGGAAUUCCAGGUGUAGCGGUGAAAUGCGUAGAUAUCUGGAGGAACACCGGUGGCGAAGGCGGCGUCCUGGACCAACACUGACACUGAGGAGCGAAAGCCAGGGGAGCAAACGGG